UUAGGCCUAGAACAAAAUCACGUUAUAUAUACAGUAUAUAUUGGCGACAUUUAAUUUCCCCACUCACGGAAUACAAUCGACAAACUGGGAACAGAAUAUCAAAUUUCGUCUAGCUUUUGGCGACUUAUGAUACCCCUUUCACCGGCAAACACUGAAUUAUCGGACAACAUGAAAUCAGGGACUAAAUUCACCAGCAUUCAUGAUCCUCGGACCACCCGCCCCCUACGCACAGCCGAUUUAUAAAUGUUGCAUCUUUCAAUCAGUGUCAAUCCCAAGAAGAACCCUGAUCAGCUCCUGGAAAAAUCAGUGUUCUUGCAGUAUUGUCAGUCAAAUCUCAAGGAAAGGAUCCCAGAAGAGGAACAUUUACAUUUAAAAAUUUCAGACUUUUUUCUUUCCUGUGUAACAAUGCCUCAAACAGCUAACACAUUUUAUAUAGUAUACAAUACAAUGUGUAUUAAUAACAGUCCAGUUAGAGUGCUGUGUUAUGCAGUAAAAAUACUUAAUUCUUGAUGACAUGUUGGUUUUAUGUUUACAUUAAACGGUAGUUAUAAUAUAUACUAAAGAAACAUAGUGGAUAAUGCCUUGUACAGGAGCAGGAGUAUGACAGUGUAAUAGUACAUGACUGCUGCGUUCAUCCAUGGAAGGAAUCUGUUAUUCGAAAUAAAGCUUUCCAUGAGGACGAAAAA